GCAUAUCAAUAAGCGGAGGAAAAGAAACCAACAGGGAUUGCCCUAGUAACGGCGAGUGAAGCGGCAACAGCUCAAAUUUGAAAUCUGGCUUCGGCCCGAGUUGUAAUUUGCAGAGGAAGCUUUAGGCGCGGCACCUUCUGAGUCCCCUGGAACGGGGCGCCAAAGAGGGUGAGAGCCCCGUAUAGUUGGAUGCCUAGCCUGUGUAAAGCUCCUUCGACGAGUCGAGUAGUUUGGGAAUGCUGCUCAAAAUGGGAGGUAAAUUUCUUCUAAAGCUAAAUACCGGCCAGAGACCGAUAGCGCACAAGUAGAGUGAUCGAAAGAUGAAAAGCACUUUGAAAAGAGGGUUAAAUAGCACGUGAAAUUGUUGAAAGGGAAGCGCUUGUGACCAGACUUGCGCCUGGCUGAUCAUCCGGUGUUCUCACCGGUGCACUCUGCCAGGCACAGGCCAGCAUCGGUUCUCGCGGGGGGAUAAAGGCCCUGGGAACGUAGCUCCUCCGGGAGUGUUAUAGCCCAGGGUGUAAUGCCCUCGCGGGGACCGAGGUUCGCGCAUCUGCAAGGAUGCUGGCGUAAUGGUCAUCAGCGACCCGUCUUGAAACACGGACCAAGGAGUCAAGGUUUUGCGCGAGUGUUUGGGUGUAAAACCCGCACGCGUAAUGAAAGUGAACGUAGGUGAGAGCUUCGGCGCAUCAUCGACCGAUCCUGAUGUAUUCGGAUGGAUUUGAGUAGGAGCGUUAAGCCUUGGACCCGAAAGAUGGUGAACUAUGCUUGGAUAGGGUGAAGCCAGAGGAAACUCUGGUGGAGGCUCGCAGCGGUUCUGACGUGCAAAUCGAUCGUCAAAUCUGAGCAUGGGGGCGAAAGACUAAUCGAACCAUCUAGUAGCUGGUUACCGCCGAAGUU
rnacentral:rRNA from 1 species